rnacentral:rRNA from 1 species
CGCACAGUAAACGAUGAAUACUCGCUGUUUGCGAUACACUGUAAGCGGCCAAGCGAAAGCGUUAAGUAUUCCACCUGGGGAGUACGCCGGCAACGGUGAAACUCAAAGGAAUUGACGGGGGCCCGCACAAGCGGAGGAACAUGUGGUUUAAUUCGAUGAUACGCGAGGAACCUUACCCGGGCUUAAAUUGCGCUGGCUUUUACCGGAAACGGUAUUUUCUUCGGACCAGCGUGAAGGUGCUGCAUGGUUGUCGUCAGCUCGUGCCGUGAGGUGUCGGCUUAAGUGCCAUAACGAGCGCAACCCUUAUCUUUAGUUACUAACAGUUUUGCUGAGGACUCUAAAGAGACUGCCGUCGUAAGAUGCGAGGAAGGUGGGGAUGACGUCAAAUCAGCACGGCCCUUACGUCCGGGGCUACACACGUGUUACAAUGGGGAGCACAGCAGGUUGCUACACGGCGACGUGAUGCCAAUCCGUAAAACUCCUCUCAGUUCGGAUCGAAGUCUGCAACCCGACUUCGUGAAGCUGGAUUCGCUAGUAAUCGCGCAUNACCACGGNGCGGUGAAUAC